GGUCCCGCGGGCCAGUGGAGUGGCCGUCUCCCUGUCACGGAGAAGAACGGGGGUUCGAGUCCCCUCGGGAUCGC
rnacentral:tRNA from 1 species